rnacentral:sRNA from 2 species
GCACUGCUUUUCAGAAUCCUCAGCGAGCUGUGUAGUGGUUGAUGAUAUUUACUAUCGUUGUCCUUGCUUGCUUUUUAACGUAUCAAGGUGGAAUACUAGAAUAUAUAUUUUGAACAAAUGCCUGAGUGGUGAUCCAAAUUUAUCAGGACCACCUGUUGGACGUAGAUAAUGAUAAUAUCAACACCAAGAUGUACGGAUCGUAGAUCUAGCAGAGUUACCCCAACAUAAAGAGUUCCCGCAAAAAGAAAAGAAAAAGAAAAAGAAAACCAAGCCAUUGACUUUUGGGAAACGAAAAAAAAAUAGAAAUAAAAUAAAUAAGAUUUUUGUAAGCCAAAUUGAAAGUACACUGCUUUAUGUGGUCCCCCACAUUAAAAGUAUGGUAAAUAGAUACAAACAAGCUAAGAACUAAAAGUUCUCCAUAGUUAAAAUAAUACUUCGGGAGGAUUGGUGAAAUAGGAUUAGAACAAUUUUCCUGAGUUGUAAUACUAAAAAAAGGUGGGUAAAAGAGCAAAGCCCACAAGGGACAAGGAAGAUAAAAAAGAAUAAAUGGAAAAAAAGGAAAGGAGGAAGGGACAAAAUCAAAUAUACAAUUAAAAAGAUAUACUACUACAGUAUUUGCUUUUUUAAAGGGAAAGAAAAAACAAUUCAAGUUGAAGAAUAGGGGAAAGAGGAGGUAUAGGUAUAGGAGGAGGAAGAAAGAAAGCGGGCAUCACUACACGUACUCUGAUGUAACGCUAGCAAAAGCAAUCAUAAUGGUAAAACCAGGGCUACAUCGAUCGGUACAGCAAUUCAGACAAGGGAGACGACAAGGGAGACAACAAGAAAGGAAUUUUGACAGUUAAGGAACAGGGUUCUUAUAGCAAGAUGAACCGGAAGUGAAAAAAUUGAGUUGAUAGAGAAUAGUUAAGUGCAAGAGGAAACCAAAAAAAAGGGUUUCGUCCCGUUAACAAAUUAAAAAAAUCUGUAUCUGAUUUCGAGAUCAUCUUCCAGGCUUUCUCACGAUGUAAUAUGUCAG